rnacentral:rRNA from 1 species
GUUGAUCCUGCGGGAGGCUGCUGCUAUUGGGAUUCGACUAAGCCAUGCAAGUCUAGGUAGCAAUACCGGCAGAAUGCUCAGUAACACGUCGAUAAUCUGACCUUAGGUCAGGGAUAACCUUGGGAAACUGAGGGUAAAACCUGAUAUGGAAUUUCUACUGGAAGGUGUUUUUCCUGAAACAUUACGGCCUAAGGAUGAGUCGGCGGUGGAUUAGGUUGUUGGCGGGGUAAUGGCCCACCAAGCCUGAGAUCCAUAGGGGCCUUGAGAGAGGUAGCCUCGAGAAGGACACUGAGACACAGGUCCUAGCCCUACGGGGUGCAGCAGGCGCGAAAACUUUACAAUGCACGAAAGUGUGAUAAGGGAAUCCCAAGUGCUCAUGCUUAGCAUGGGCUUUUGCCAAGAGCAAAAAUCUUGGCGAAUAAGUGGUGGGCAAGACUGGUGCCAGCCGUUGUGGUAACACCAGCGCCACGAGUAGGAGCCGAUUUUAUUUGGCCUAAAGCGUCCGUAGCCUGUUCAGUAAAUUUUUUGUGAAAUCGUUCGGUUUAACCGAACGGCGUGCAGAGAACACUGCUGGACUCGGAACCGGGAGGAGUCAGAGGUAUGUUAGGGGUAGCGGUAAAAUGCUAUAAUCCCUUACAGACCACCUGUGGCGAAGGCGUCUGACUAGAACGGAUUCGACGGUGAGGGACGAAAGCUAGGGGAGCGAUCCGGAUUAGAUACCCGAGUAGUCCUAGCUGUAAACGCUGCGAGCUAGGUGUUGCAUAUUCUAUGGGAAUAUGCAGUGUCGAAGCGAAGGUAUUAAGCUCGCUGCCUGGGAAGUAUGGUCGCAAGACUGAAACUUAAAGGAAUUGGCGGGGGAGCACCACAAGGGGUGCGGCGUGCGGUUUAAUCUAACUCAACGCAGAGAAUCUCACCAGGAGCGACGGCAGGAUGAAAGUUAGUCUGAAGGGCUUACUUGACGAGCCGAGAGGUAGUGCAUGGCCGUCGUCAGCUCGUGCCGUGAGGUGUCCUCUUAAGUGAGGCAACGAGCGAGACCUGUACCUACACUUGCUAGCAACCCUUUUUAGGGGAUUGAGCAUAAUGUAGGGACUGCCCUGGAAACAGGGAGGAAGGUGCAGGCUACGGUAGGUCUGUAUGCUCCGAAUCCCCUGGGCAACACGCGCGCAACAAUGGUAGGGACAAUAGGAUGCAACUCCGAAAGGAGAAGCUAAUCCUCGAAACCCUGCCCAAGUCCAGAUUGAGGGCUGUAACUCGCCCUCAUGACGAUGGAAUCCCUAGUAAUCGUGGGUCAACAUCCCACGGUGAAUACGUCCCCGCUCCUUGCACACACCGCCCGUCAAGCCACCCGAGCAGGGUCUAGAUGAGUCUUAUCUUUUUGGAUAAGCCGAAUCUAGGCUCAGUGAGGUGGGCUAAGUCGUCACAAGGUA